rnacentral:sRNA from 1 species
AUAUCUCUCUGUAAGGGAAGGAUGAGAAGCUUCGACUAAGGUUCGAUUCGAGCGAAAGCGAGAAAGCGUUGCCGCAGGCAACGACCCGAAGGGCGAAACGCGCAGCGCUGAGUCAUCCUUCCCCCACCACCA